CUUUCAGAGACAUCUCCUCGGAGAUGUAACAUCUUCGAGUCGUUUUAGUUCAGGGACUAUUUAUUAAUGCGCACUCAUGAUGAGUGUUGGCUGCCUCUAGGACAGGGGUCAAGGCGAUUAAAAGCUCCUGUUGCAUGAACCAUGUUGUGGUCCCAGUCCCCAGAGGAACAGAAAAACUAUCUGAGCCUGAAGAGUGCGGGGAGGCCACCUGAGUCUGGACGGCAGCAAGCAUCUUCUUCAGAAGAGGGAAUCUGUCACUCAAACUUUCAGGAAGAGAUAGCCAGAUCUUGAAAGGAAACAGACAGUACUGGAGGAGCCACAGCCUGCCAUUGCCUGGGCACAUAAGACCGCAGCAGGACACGUGUCCAUUGACCUUGUUGGAGCCUGAUUCUGUUGCUGAACUGGAGGGAUUCCAGGCUCAGAACAAGUGUCCCACCAACCUAUUGAAGCACAUGCAACUGACUGUAGCUUCUGUUGCAUUGAUUUGAAGGAACUCACUAUUUAGAUGCUGGGAUCAGCAUUCCUACUGCCCGUUUGGUGACAAGAGGUAGAUGCCACCUUGUGUGUGCUUUCUACUGGAGUCUUAAUACAGGAAGGUAAUUACAGAUAUAUGUAUCUGCACAUGGGCGUGAUGGGCGCCUGGGUCAGAGAGCAGCGUCAGACACGACUCAACUAACAUGAGCCAGUUUUCUUGGAGAAGCAGCUCUUUGAGGCUGGAGGUGGACAGCCAGAGCAGGAGUGUCUGUUCCACCCCCAGGGCAAGCUUCUGAUGGCCAGGAACAGACAAUUUGAUCAUCAGAAUAUAACAGCAGCGACUGCAACUCAAUGCAUCUGCUUAAGCACAUGAGUUCUUAAUUAAACUGAAAAAUAAUUGGUGCCAGUGGAAGAUGCUAAUGCAUGAUUCAUUGUUUUAACAACUAGUAAAUAAAAAAGAAGGUAUCAGACACUUAUCCCGCCUCCCUAAUAUAAGCCUCACAACUCGUAGCCAGACUUAAAAUAUCAGGGAAAUUUUCUUCAUCGAGAUGUGUCCGGCUGGUAAGUGGAGGAGAGAGGGUGGUGUUCUUAGGGUCUGGCCUUGCUGAAACCCAAAAUGUAUUCAUGUGUCUCUUGAAACGCUGAGCAUGAGGACUCUCGCAGUACAAAAAGGGAACGGGUUGUCUCCGUACCAUUAGGAAGUCCACCCCAAACAGAAUCUGACUAGCAGAUCUAACUGCAGCUGAAAGGAAAUGCAGAGGAGACUGCCAGACCAGCUGGGGUGUAACCGGGAGAGUAAACCAUGGGCCUCUCACCUUGUGGAUAGAUGGCUGAUGGGCAGGUGGCGGCUUCCCCAGGAGUAAAUCACGCUGACUGAGGAAGACUGAAGGAUGGUGAGAGAGACCUGCAAGUCAAAAGUCAGGAAACAUUUGAAAUCACAGUCAUGCCAGUCAAAUAUGAGUUAUAAGGCAAAGUGAAAACCAACACCUAUAUCGACUCGGUAACAGUUAACUGAGAAACAAGCUGGAGCUAAUUAGGUCUUUUAUGGUGUUAAUGACUUAGUUUAAUUUUCACAUAAUCCUAAUUUUAAAGAGAGAAUCCUUCUUUGAAGAUUCAUUCUUAAAUCUUUACAUAUACAUUCAGGAUUUGCUGGUGGUGGGGUAUGGAGUGAGUAAGACCCUGAGAACUGCUAGUUGUUGGUGCUGGACAGAGGGCGUGAGGGAGUCCAUCAGAAUCCCCGUUCCUGUUGCAGGUUUCACGUGAGUUUUAAAAUGAAACACACACAUAUGCAUGUGCGCAGGAACACACAUGUACGCAUACACAGGCACUCACAGGCUCACACACUCAGACAUGGAUUACCUCCACUGCUGAAACACAGAUUUUUCUUUCUGUGUAUGCAGCUUCCUUGAGUGUAUAUACAUGCUCAAUAUAAACAGACAUAGCUAUACAGUCUGCUUCUGCUCCGGUCCUUAGGCGUAUGCUCUCAGAUAAUGAGACCCGUGUUCUAACUGCUCUCCCUGGUGGAAACAACACACUCAGGAGCCAGUGAGUAAAAACAUGAACCAGGAAGUUGGGCUACAAAGUUUAGGAAACUUUCGGAGGUUACAUUUUGACACGCUCGGAUCUUGCCUUUAACAAUGACAGAAUGCUACACAAAACAGAAGCUUCCUCCAGUAUGGCUCUUUAUCUUAUCUUGACAGAUUAUUGCUGGUUAAAUUGUAGCGCUGACUUAAAGGCAGGACUCUUCAAGGGAGUCAGAAAUUAAGGCUUCACCAAAUGGUAAUAAAGCUAUUAAAAAUGCAAACAGCAAACAGCUACCCUGUGCAGGUUAGACAGCUAAUCCAAACUAGCAGUUUAAAAAGCAGAGCAAUUACACUUUUAUUUAAAUGCAAGGAAUAUGAGCAAGAAUAGAAUGAGGAGCCUUGUUUAAAUGCAUUCUUUUGAAUAUUUAUUAGAAAUAAUACAUGUAGUUAAGCCACUUAUCUGAUUUCAGCGAACAAGUAAAAUGCAAAAGAUCAAUUUUCAUAAUUAUAGCAAAGAAGCCUGUCUUUCAUAAAAAUCUCAUUAAUAACACCAUUAUUACUGAAAAAAUAUCUCGGUAUUAUUAUUGUUAUUCUAAUUAUCAGCAAAAUGCUACUGAUAAUGUUGUCAUAAAAUUUCCUUUUAGUAUCCUAUUAAGAGAGAUCGACUAAGUAGUGGUUUAAGUUCAAUCUAGACCCUAAGUGGUGGCAUAAAGAUCUUCUUUGUGUGUUUGGGAAAAUACAUUCUGUGUAUAAUUACAGAAAUCACUAUGAGUUUGGCAAACAGGGCCUUAUGAGGAUAUAUAUGUCCGAAUGUGAUUGUGCAGCCAAACGCAUCUGUAGCUGCACACACCCACAGAUGCCGUGCGGGACAGCGGUGGCGUUUGUGGAGUCCACACACACACACACAUCCUUUAACAACAAGAUAGUUCUGUUUAGUGGCUGAGAGUGGAAGCUGCCUUUAAAGUUAGCACGUGCGGGAGUUUCAGCUUCACACCAGACCAUGCCUUUGCUUCCCUGGCGUCUUUACAGGGAACCUUUCUCGAUGAUGCUAGAGAACUUCUAAGGCUGCCUGGGAUCAUCAUCAUCACCUUGCUCUUAUGGCCCAGGGUUCCCUCUCAGAAACUCACUGGAGGAGGCUGCACUCACUGAUUCCUGACAGUUUAGCUGAAGUGUGAUGAUGGCCACCCCAAAUCUGGGCAAACAUUGCUUCAACAGCACGAAAUAUAGCAGAAGGAUUCUGAGACUUUUGGGUGCAUAAUAAACGAUAUUAAAGAAUGAAAGAUAGGAAGCAGAAUUAACUAUGCAGUUAUUGUUGAGACAGUUCUCAGGCCCCAUUUUUUUUUUUUUAAAGUAAAAAACAAAAAACAUGAUUCUACAAACUCCAGCGUCUUUGUUUUCUCCCACCCCAGCUCUCGGCUACAUGAGCAGAGGACAGAGCAGUGCACAGCCCUGCCUCUUGACAGGACUAUGUUCUCCCUGUCUGGAGACCCACAAAGAAGCCGCUGCUGCCUCUCAUGCUCGCCAGCACCGGGGGAUGAUACAGAUGACUGAUUAAACAAACAAAAAGUAAAGCACUUAAUUUAAUACCUGUGUGUGAGCAUAUUUAAAUAUCACAGUGCUGGCAUGAAUAAAGGCUUAUGAAUACGUAAAGCAGCCACAAAUGCUGAGCCUUGUUUAGAAUCAAAGCUAAAGGAUUGCUUUGAAUUGGAACAAAUAAUAAUUUUAGACAAUGUAAAGGAGUGGAAAUAGCCACAAUGAAGUAAAGCCUUAUUUUUAACUUUUUUUAUUUGUGUGUCAUCUCACAGCUGAAUGCAUU